GUAAAGGCAUAAGGGAGCUUGACUGCGAGACCUACAAGUCGAGCAGGGUCGAAAGACGGACUUAGUGAUCCGGUGGUUCCGCAUGGAAGGGCCAUCGCUCAACGGAUAAAAGCUACCCCGGGGAUAACAGGCUUAUCUCCCCCAAGAGUUCACAUCGACGGGGAGGUUUGGCACCUCGAUGUCGGCUCAUCGCAUCCUGGGGCUGUAGUCGGUCCCAAGGGUUGGGCUGUUCGCCCAUUAAAGCGGUACGCGAGCUGGGUUCAGAACGUCGUGAGACAGUUCGGUCCCUAUCCGUCGUGGGCGUAGGAAAUUUGAGAGGAGCUGUCCUUAGUACGAGAGGACCGGGAUGGACAUACCUCUGGUGUACCAGUUGUCGUGCCAACGGCAUAGCUGGGUAGCUAUGUAUGGACGGGAUAAGUGCUGAAAGCAUCUAAGCAUGAAGCCCCCCUCAAGAUGAGAUUUCCCAACUUCGGUUAUAAGAUCCCUCGAAGAUGACGAGGUUAAUAGGUUCGAGGUGGAAGCGUGGUGACACGUGGAGCUGACGAAUACUAAUCGAUCGAAGACUUAAUCAAUUUUUAAA
rnacentral:rRNA from 1 species